ACCCCAGGACACCCCUGGCACACCCCAGCACCUUUAGGACCACGAUGCCCUUCAGGACCCCAAAACAGCUCUGGACACCCCCAGGAGCUCUUAGGACCACGCUGAACCCUCACAGGACCCCCAGAACACCCCCAGGACCCCCCUGGAACACCCCAGGACCACAGGGCACUACAGGGAUCUACAAGGAAACCCCAAACCCUCCACAGGACCCCAGUAAACACCCCAGGACCACCAAGGAACCCCCAAACCCCCACAGGACCACCAGGAGACCCCAAAUUCCCCACAGGACCACCAAGGACCUCCUGAAACCCCCACAGGACCCCAUUAAACACCGUAGGACCACCAGGAGACCCCCAAACCGCCCACAAGACCACCAGGAACCCCCCGAACCCCCAACAAGACCUCACUAAGCACCCCAGGACCACCAGGAGCUCCUUAAACCCCUCACAGGACCCCACUAAACACCCCAGGACCACCAGGAGACCCCCAAACCCCCAACAAGACCAUAAGAACCCCCCCCCAGACCCCUCACAGGACCCCAAUAAACACCCCAGGACCACCAAGAGACCCCCAAACCCCCCAAAGGACCACCAGGAACCCCCCAAAGGACCCCAAUAAACACCCUAGGACCACCAGGAGACCCCCAAACCCCCCACAGGACCAUCAAGAACCCCCCCAAACCCCCCACAGGACCCCAAUAAGCAUGCCAGGACCACCAAGAGACCCCCCCAAACCCCCCACAGGACCCCAAUAAACACUCCAGGACCACCAAGAGCCCCACAAAGGACCCCAAUAAACCCCCCAAGACCACCAGGAGCACCCCAGAACCCCCCAUAAAACCCCAAUUAACACUCUACGAGCUCCCCAAACCCCCACAGGACCCCAGUAAAACGCCCAGGACCACCAAGAGCCCCCAAAACCCUGCACAAGACACAGGAGACCCCCACAGGACUCAUUAAACACCCCAGGACCCCCCCCAAACCCUGCACAGGACCACCAGGACCCCCCAGUGAACACCCCAGGACCACACGUACCCCCAAUAAAGACCCCAGGAGCACCAA